AUCGCUUCUCGGCCUUUUGGCUAAGAUCAAGUGUAGAAAAUACUCAGAAAUAUUCACAGAAAUAUUGAAUGGAAAGUUCUUUGUACUCAUAUUUAUAAUAGUGACAAUCUGAAAGGAAUGCAAGUAUUGCUUUUUAAAUUUU
ensembl:snRNA U2 U2 spliceosomal RNA